rnacentral:rRNA from 1 species
GACGAACGCUGGCGGCGUGCUUAACACAUGCAAGUCGAACGAUGAACCGGGUGCUUGCACUUGGGGAUUAGUGGCGAACGGGUGAGUAACACGGGAGUAACCUGCCCUGGACGCUGGGAUAAGCCCGAGAAAUCGGAGCUAAUACCGGCUAGGACCUUUCCUCGCAUGAGGGUUGGUGGAAAGUUUUUCGGUCUGGGAUGGACUCGCGGCCUAUCAGCUUGUUGGUGAGGUAAUGGAUCACCAAGGCGUCGACGGGUAGCCGGCCUGAGAGGGUGACCGGCCACACUGGGACUGAGACACGGCCCAGACUCCUACGGGAGGCAGCAGUGGGGAAUAUUGCACAAUGGGCGCAAGCCUGAUGCAGCAACGCCGCGUGCGGGAUGACGGCCUUCGGGUUGUAAACCGCUUUUAGUAGGGAAGAAGGGCUUCGGCUUGACGGUACCUGCAGAAAAAGGACCGGCUAACUACGUGCCAGCCGCCGCGGUAAUAC